GGGAAAUCUAAGGAGCUCUCCCAUGGUGAUUUCUUCCAUUUUGUAUCUAAGGCUUGAUCCAAGCAAAUAUUUGAGCAUCCAAGCAAAAGAAAGAGGAAUCAAAGGCUUUUUCGGAGAAAGGGUGAUCGAUGGAAGUUAGAAGUUAAGAGAUAGUGAAUGGAGUGGAGCUUGUUAAGUUCCUUAUCAAUGGUAUUGAUGUAAUUCGUAUUUGUUUUUUAUGGUUUGAAUGAUGCUUAAUGGUAGCACCCAAUGUUUUAAUUGUAAAUUCUUUGGUGGGA